GCCUCCGCGUUGGGCUGUGUCCACCGGAAUCUGACUUGUGCUUCCGGGUCAGAGCCAUGGCGGUGGCAAAUUCAAGCCCCGUUAACCCUGUGGUGUUCUUUGAUGUCAGCAUCGGUGGUCAGGAAGUUGGCCGCAUGAAGAUUGAGCUGUUUGCAGAUGUCGUGCCCAAGACAGCCGAGAACUUCAGGCAGUUCUGCACUGGAGAAUUCAGAAAAGAUGGGGUUCCAAUAGGAUAUAAAGGAAGCACCUUCCACAGGGUCAUAAAGGAUUUCAUGAUUCAGGGUGGAGAUUUUGUUAAUGGAGAUGGUACUGGAGUCGCCAGUAUUUACCGGGGCCCAUUUGCAGAUGAAAAUUUUAAACUUAGACACUCAGCUCCAGGCCUACUUUCCAUGGCAAACAGUGGUCCCAGUACAAAUGGCUGUCAGUUCUUUAUCACCUGCUCAAAGUGCGAUUGGCUGGAUGGGAAGCACGUAGUGUUCGGAAAAAUCAUUGAUGGACUUCUGGUAAUGAGAAAGAUUGAGAAUGUUCCCACAGGCCCCAACAAUAAGCCCAAAUUGCCUGUGGUAAUCUCACAGUGUGGGGAGAUGUAAUCCCAACCAAGACUGAAUCAUGAGUCAGGUCCCUCCCUAACUUCCUUGCCAGAUCCAGGCGAGGCCUUCCCUUGCUGUCCUGACUUUGCUGAGUCAGAUAAACUGAAUGGCUCCAGUGUUUGCAUUCCUGCCUGCUUCGGAAAUAUCGCGGACUCCAAACCAAGAGUGUGUGCAUUUAAGUUUUUAAUUGUAAAUAAAGGUUUUUGUAUG